AUUGAACGCUGGCGGAAUGCUUUACACAUGCAAGUCGAACGGCAGCACGGGGGCAACCCUGGUGGCGAGUGGCGAACGGGUGAGUAAUACAUCGGAACGUGCCCAAUCGUGGGGGAUAACGUAGCGAAAGCUACGCUAAUACCGCAUACGAUCUACGGAUGAAAGCGGGGGAUCGCAAGACCUCGCGCGAAUGGAGCGGCCGAUGGCAGAUUAGGUAGUGGGUGGGGUAAAGGCUCACCAAGCCGACGAUCUGUAGCUGGUCUGAGAGGACGACCAGCCACACUGGGACUGAGACACGGCCCAGACUCCUACGGGAGGCAGCAGUGGGGAAUUUUGGACAAUGGGCGCAAGCCUGAUCCAGCCAUUCCGCGUGCAGGAUGAAGGCCUUCGGGUUGCAAACUGCUUUUGUGCGGAACGAAACGGCUCUCUCUAAUACAGGGGGCUAAUGACGGUACCGUAAGAAUAAGCACCGGCUAACUACGUGCCAGCCGCCGCCGUAAGAC
rnacentral:rRNA from 1 species